AGAGUUUGAUCCUGGCUCAGGACGAACGCUGGCGGUGCGCCUAAUGCAUGCAAGUCGGACGAGUUUUGGUGGGGCAACUCAUCAAAGCAGUGGCAGACGGCUGAGUAACACGUAAGUGAUCUACCCCGGAGAGGGGGACAAUCCGGAGAAAUCUGGUCUAAUACCCCGUACGUUCCUCGUAUUACGGUACGAGGAGGAAAGGGGCACGGAGUAAUCCGUGUCUGCUCUGGGAGGAGCUUGCGGCCUAUCAGGUAGUUGGUGGGGUAACGGCCUACCAAGCCGAAGACGGGUAACCGGUGUGAGAGCACGAUCGGUCAGAGGGGGACUGCGACACGGCCCCCACUCCUACGGGAGGCAGCAGCAGGGAAUCUUGCGCAAUGGGCUGAAAGGCCUGACGCAGCGACACCGCGUGGGGGAAGAAGGUCUUCGGGUUGUAAACCCCUUUUCCUAGGGAGGAUUAUGACGGUACCUAGGGAAUAAGCAUCGGCUAACUACGUGCCAGCAGCCGCGGUAAUACGUAGGAUGCGAGCGUUGUCCGGAUUUACUGGGCGUAAAGGGCGUGUAGGCGGCUUGUUAAGUCCCGUGUGAAAUCUCCCGGCUCAACUGGGAGGGGUCACGGGAAACUGGCUGGCUUGAGGACGGUAGAGGAAAGCGGAAUUCCCGGAGUAGUGGUGAAAUGCAUAGAUACCGGGAGGAACACCAGUGGCGAAGGCGGCUUUCUGGGCCGUUCCUGACGCUAAGGCGCGAAAGCUUGGGGAGCGAACCGGAUUAGAUACCCGGGUAGUCCAAGCCCUAAACGAUGGAUGCUAGGUAUGGGGGGUAUCGACCCCUCCCGUGCCGUAGUUUACGCGAUAAGCAUCCCGCCUGGGGAGUACGGCCGCAAGGCUAAAACUCAAAGGAAUUGACGGGGGCCCGCACAAGCAGCGGAGCGUGUGGUUUAAUUCGAUGCUAAGCGAAGAACCUUACCAGGGCUUGAAAUAUACGUGCAAGCCAACGAAAGUCGGCCCUCCUUCGGGACAUGUAUACAGAUGUUGCAUGGUUGUCGUCAGCUCGUGCCGUGAGGUGUUGGGUUAAGUCCCGCAACGAGCGCAACCCUUGUCGUUAGUUGCUUUUUCUAGCGAGACUGCCCCUUACAAGGGGGAGGAAGGUGGGGAUGACGUCAAAUCAUCACGGCUCUUACGUCCUGGGCUACACACACGCUACAAUGGUCAAUACAAAGGGUUGCCAAGGAGCGAUCCGGAGCUAAUCCCAAAAAGUUGACCCCAGUUGGAAUUGCAGGCUGCAACUCGCCUGCAUGAACGAGGAGUUGCUAGUAACCGCAGGUCAGCAUACUGCGGUGAAUACGUUCCCGGGCCUUGUACACACCGCCCGUCAAGUCAUGGAAGUUGGCAAUACCUGAAGUCGCUGGGCUAACCCGCAAGGGAGGCAGGCGCCGAGGGUAGGGUUGAUGACUAGGACUAAGUCGUAACAAGGUAGCUGUACCGGAAGGUGUGGUUGGAUCACCUCCUU
rnacentral:rRNA from 1 species